rnacentral:rRNA from 1 species
GGACGAACGCUGGCGGCGUGCUUAACACAUGCAAGUCGAACGGAAAGGCCCCUUUGGGGGUACUCGAGUGGCGAACGGGUGAGUAACACGUGAGUAACCUGCCCUUGACUUCGGGAUAACUUCAGGAAACUGGGGCUAAUACCGGAUAGGAAUCCUUGCUGCAUGGUGGGGGUUGGAAAGCUUCGGCGGUUUUGGAUGGACUCGCGGCUUAUCAGCUUGUUGGUGGGGUAGUGGCUUACCAAGGCUUUGACGGGUAGCCGGCCUGAGAGGGCGACCGGCCACAUUGGGACUGAGAUACGGCCCAGACUCCUACGGGAGGCAGCAGUGGGGAAUAUUGCACAAUGGGCGGAAGCCUGAUGCAGCAACGCCGCGUGCGGGAUGACGGCCUUCGGGUUGUAAACCGCUUUCAGCAGGGGCGAAGCUUGUGGUGACGGUACCUGCAGAAGAAGCACCGGCUAACUACGUG